rnacentral:rRNA from 1 species
GGACUACCGGGGUAUCUAAUCCUGUUUGCUCCCCACGCUUUCGCGUCUCAGCGUCAGUACCGUCCCAGCGAGCUGCCUUCGCCAUUGGUGUUCCUCCUGAUAUCUGCGCAUUUCACCGCUACACCAGGAAUUCCACUCGCCUCUUCCGGACUCUAGCCCGACAGUAUCCGCCCGCCUCCCGGGGUUGAGCCCCGGGCUUUCAGAGCGGACUUACCGAGCCGCCUACACGCUCUUUACGCCCAAUGAUUCCGGACAACGCUUGCCCCCUACGUAUUACCGCGGCUGCUGGCAC